rnacentral:rRNA from 1 species
GAUCUCCUACGGGGGGCAGCAGUGGGGAAUAUUGCGCAAUGGGCGAAAGCCUGACGCAGCGACGCCGCGUGGGUGAAGGAGCGUUUCGGCGCGUAAAGCCCUAUCGGCAGGGAAGAAGGAGGACGGUACCUGACUAAGAAGCCCCGGCUAACUACGUGCCAGCAGCCGCGGUAAUACGUAGGGGGCAAGCGUUAUCCGGAUUUACUGGGGGUAAAGGGGGCGCAGACGGCAGCGCAAGCCAGGAGUGAAAGCCCGGGGCCCAACCCCGGGACUGCUCUUGGAACUGCGCGGCUGGAGGGGAGGAG